AUGAAGAAGAUCAAUAUUGAGAAGGACGCAUGCUACAGGAGCAGCAGAUGCGUCAUGUGAGCCUUGGGUGAUUGAUGCGUUUGUGCGUGCAUUGGUCAGUUGCGCUCAUCAGUUUCUUUAGAUGUAGGUUCAUCUCGUGUAUCGGGAAGACAACAGUAAGGAGAGGAGAGCUAUUAUCUCGACAAUAGAAGUUCAGGAAGAAAAGGUCCGGUGCAUUAAGGAGCAGCGAUAAUGGUUUUGGUGUCCUGUUAGAUGAGUUCCUGGUGCAUGAUGAGUUCUUGUGGGCACACCAGCUCAAUUUUUUGUCAAUGUUCUAAAAUAAUGCCGUUUUUUUCAAGAAGAUGACAUGUCUCAUCAGAAGAACGGUGUUGUAGUGCUCAUCGCUCACUCAAGAAAGGACAAACAUAAAUUCCUGAAGUAAGGAGAAUCACUUAAUGUGAAAUAUCCAAUAAAAAAAGCUCUGCCAUAUGCAAGUAAGAGACACGCUUCAUUUGGAAGUUAAUCUGUCAUGGUCAGCGUAUUGUGAUGUUAACAUGCCCCUUGAAGGACUGCAGGAGUGCUUGCCACGCUUAAUACCAACUUUGGUGUCAAACAUGGUCUACACUGAGGAUGAUGAAUCGCUUGUAGAUGCUGAGGAUCUAAAAUAUAGGAAUAAACAAAAAAGUCCAUUUUGGCGUACUACUAUAUUUCCAUGGCAUAUGUCCGAUGUCAGGCCUCUUAUAUGUGCUUUCGACUUACUUGAUCGUAUUUUAGUUGCUCGUGAUUCUGCCUUGUCCUAGAAAGCAAACAAUGCAAAUUAUAUGGAUUUUAUGAUUCAGUUCAUGUUCAUCGCUUGUCCAUCCUUGGUACAACAUUACAUGCAAAUAUACUCAGUUGUUGUGUGUAAAGAAAUUCAUUCCAAAUUUAAGAAAAAAUAAGGGGUAUCUCUCCACGAAGGAUUGCUUUA